GUUUGAAUAAUUUAAAUAAAAAUAUUGGUCUUGUAAACCAAAUAUAAGCCCAGCUUUUUAAACA
rnacentral:tRNA from 1 species